UAGCGUAGGGGGCAAGCGUUGUCCGGAUUUAUUGGGCGUAAAGAGCGUGUAGGCGGCCAGGGAGGUCCGUUGUGAAAACUCGAGGCUCAACCUCGAGACGCCGAUGGAAACCCCCUGGCUAGAGUCCGGAAGAGGAGAAUGGAAUUCCUGGUGAUAGCGGUGAAAUGCGCAGAUAUCAGGAAGAACACCAAUUGCGAAGGCAGCUCGCUGGGACGUUACUGACGCUGGAGACGGCGAAGGACGUGGGGAGCGAACGGG
rnacentral:rRNA from 1 species